CCUACGGGAGGCAGCAGUGGGGAAUAUUGCACAAUGGGGGGAACCCUGAUGCAGCGACGCCGCGUGAGCGAUGAAGUAUUUCGGUAUGUAAAGCUCUAUCAGCAGGGAAGAAAAUGACGGUACCUGAGUAAGAAGCCCCGGCUAACUAGGUGCCAGCAGCCGCGGUAAUACGUAGGGGGCAAGCGUUAUCCGGAUUUACUGGGUGUAAAGGGAGCGUAGACGGCAGUGCAAGUCUGGAGUGAAAGGCGGGGGCUCAACCCCCGGACUGCUCUGGAAACUGUACGGCUGGAGUGCAGGAGAGGUAAGUGGAAUUCCUAGUGUAGCGGUGAAAUGCGUAGAUAUUAGGAGGAACACCAGUGGCGAAGGCGGCUUACUGGACUGUAACUGACGUUGAGGCUCGAAAGCGUGGGGAGCAAACAGGAUUAGAUACCCCUGUAGUC
rnacentral:rRNA from 1 species